GCUCUGAUAGUUCAACGGAUAGAACGGGGGAUUUCUAAUCCUUAAAUCUAGGUUCGAUUCCUAGUCGGAGUA
rnacentral:tRNA from 1 species